GUGGGUAUAGCUCAGUGGUAGAGUGCAUGCCUAGCAUGCACAAGGUCCUGGGUUCAAUCCCCAGUAACUCUA
rnacentral:tRNA from 1 species